UGAGGAAUAUUGGUCAAUGGACGCAAGUCUGAACCAGCCAAGUAGCGUGCAGGAUGACGGCCCUAUGGGUUGUAAACUGCUUUUAUAUGGGGAUAAAGUCACCCACGUGUGGGUGUUUGCAGGUACCGCAUGAAUAAGGACCGGCUAAUUCCGUGCCAGCAGCCGCGGUAAUACGGAAGGUCCGGGCGUUAUCCGGAUUUAUUGGGUUUAAAGGGAGUGUAGGCGGCCUGUUAAGCGUGUUGUGAAAUGUAGAUGCUCAACAUCUGAACUGCAGCGCGAACUGGCUGGCUUGAGUACACGCAACGUGGGCGGAAUUCAUGGUGUAGCGGUGAAAUGCUUAGAUAUCAUGAGGAACUCCUAUUGCGAAGGCAGCUCACGGGAGUGUCACUGACGCUUAAGCUCGAAGGUGCGGGUAUCAAACAGG
rnacentral:rRNA from 1 species